GUAGUCGGCUAAGGAGUGUUUUUGACAAAGCUUUUGAGGUUAAAGAAUGGAGGAGGGAUGGACGGCUAUGCAAGGGAAAAAGGGAAAAAGAAUUGAGAUGAAAACUAGUGAGAGUGGGAAAAGAAUAUUGAGGGAUGAGGGAUGAUCCUAGAAGCGAGGGAUGUCAAGGUACUUAUAAGUGAAAGUAAGGGUUUGAGUUUACUAAAAAUAGG
rnacentral:lncRNA from 1 species